rnacentral:rRNA from 1 species
AGCGAACGUUUGCGGCGGGCCUAACACAUGCAAGUCGAACGCACUAGCAAUAGUGAGUGGCGCACGGGUGCGUAACACGUGGGUAAUCAACCCUUCAGCCUGGGAUAACGACUCGAAAGGGUCGCUAAUACCGGAUACGGCGCGAGAGGCUUCGGCUUCUCACGAGAAAGCCACGCAAGGGGCACUGAAGGACGAGCCCUGCGGCCCCAUCAGCUAGUUGGUGAGGUAAGAGCUCACCAAGGCUAAGACGGGUAGCUGGUCUGAGAGGAUGAUCAGCCACACUGGAACUGAGACACGGUCCAGACUCCUACGGGAGGCAGCAGUGGGGAAUAUUGCGCAAUGGGCGAAAGCCUGACGCAGCCACGCCGCGUGAGCGAUGAAGGCCUUCGGGUCGUAAAGCUCUGUGGGGAGAGACGAAGAAAGCCUGUGAAGAGCAGGCCUUGACGGUAUCUCCUUAGCAAGCACCGGCUAACUCCGUG